AGUGAACGUUGGCGGUAUGGAUGAGGCAUGCAAGUCGAGCGGAAAGGCUCCUUCGGGAGUACUCGAGCGGCGAAAGGGUGAGUAAUAAAUGGCUAACGUACCCUAGAGUGGGGAAUAACUUCGAGAAAUCGGAGCUAAUACCGCAUAAGACCACAGCGUCGCAUGGCGCAGAGGUCAAAGGGGGCUUCGGCUCUCGCUUUAGGAGCGGGCCAUUUGAUAUCAGCUUGUUGGUGAGGUAACGGCUCACCAAGGCUACGACGUCUAGCCGGUCUGAGAGGAUGGCUGGCCACACCGGGGACUGAGACACUGCCCGGACACCUACGGGUGGCUGCAGUCGAGAAUCAUUGUCAAUGGGCGAAAGCCUGAACGUGCGAUACCGCGUGUGGGAUGAAGGCGGAUACCGUUGUAAACCACUGUCAGGGGCUAUGAAUAAGGCGGGGCUAAUACCUCCGCUGAUGACCUAAACCCCAGAGGAAGUCGCAGCUAACUACGUG
rnacentral:rRNA from 1 species